UCCCCUGGGGAGGCAGCCAGGAUAUUCACAGUCAGUGUAAAUCUAGCUUUCUAUUGGGACUUUCUAAAUCUCUGGGUUGCCUAAAGACCACCAGGACCCAGAAAGCCAAGAAUACCUUUUUGGGAGCACUGGGUUGGAAUCUGACAGUGGUUGUAUGGGGCAAGGGAAAGUGGAAGUGACAGCUGCCUUUGGGAAAAGGAAGAGGAAGAGGAAGAGGAAGGACAAGAAGCAAAAACAACCCCCCCCCCCAGAAAACCCUCCUGUCUCUUCUUGGGAGCCAUAGACUUUGACAACAACUUCCCUGCAGAUCCCACGGAAUGGGAGCAACAGCAUAUCUUUCCACGUAGCCUCACACAAGGUGGCAGAGACCUCAGGGCUCCUUGGAAAAGACGGGUGAUACUACAUCUGGGUGAUGCAAAAGCAAUCUUGUAUACCAUUAGUGGCGCACCUGGGGACACAUUGUGGUGUCUGUGGAGAGAAAGAAGAAGCUGACAUCUGAUACGAGAGGAAGAGGAAAUUGGGAUGCAAAUAGGUACUGAAGAUCGUGUGAAGACAGGGAGGAGGUUGUCAUCAGCAAGCCAAGGAGAGAAGCCUCAGAAGACACCAACCCUGCCAACACUGUGACCUCAGACUCCAGCCCCCAGAACUAUUCCAUAGACUCUUCUCUGUUUCUUCAUCUAUGACAUGGGGAUAAUGUGAGUAUACCUACAUUAGAAGACUGCUGUGAAGACCAAAUAAGGUAACACACCUAAAGAAUUUGUGCAAAUUUCUGGUACAUUUUAAAUUAUAGUUAACAAAACAAGUAGUACCACUUUUAAAAAAAUCAACUUUUAUUUUAGAUAUGGGGGAUACAUGUGUAGAUUUGUUAUGUGGGGAUACUAUGUGAUGCUGAGGUUUGGAGUACAGAUCUUGUCACCCAGGUAGUGAGCAGAGUAUCCAAUAGGUACUUUUAAAAACUCCCCAUCCCCCCUGCUCCUUCCACCCUCUAAUGGUCCACAAUGUCUACUGUUCUCAUAUUUAUGUCUAUAUAUGCUCAAUGUUUACCUUCCACUUAUAAGUGAGAACAUGUGGUAUUUGGUUUUCUGUUCCUGCAUUAAUUUGCAUAAUAUUAUAGCCUCCAACUUCAUCCAUGUUGCUGCAAAUAACAUUAUUUUAUUCCUUUUUAUGGCUGUCUAGUAUUCCAUGGCAUAUAUGUACCAUAUUUUCUUUAUCCAGUCUAUCAUUGAUGGGCAUCUGGGUUGAUUCCAUAUCUUUGCUUAAAUAGUACCAUCUUUAACACAGGUGAAAUUUAUCUAUGCUGUAAGAAGUAAGGAUAGGGGUUACUCUUGGGAGGAAAUAGCAACCAGAAAGGUGUAGUCUAGGGACUUCUGGGGUGCUGAGAAUGCUGUUUCUUGAAUUGGGUACUGGUUCCACAGGUGUGUUCAAUUUGUGCAAAAACAGUGAGCUAUGCACUUAUGCAUUUUUUGAUGUGUUCAUUAUACUUCAAUAUAAAGAAAAAAUGGAGACAAGUGACUCAUGUUUUCUGAGCACUUGUCAUGUAGCUAUCCCUGGCACACUCUCUUCACAUGGAUGAUUUCAUUUAGCCCUGUGUGCUACGUGCUACUAUCAUCAUCAUCUCACAGAAGACAACACAGGCUCUAAGAGACAGAGCCACUGUCCAAAUUCAGACUGAGUAAUAGUGAAGGUGGGUAUCAUUUCAAUUCUUGUGUCUUCACCACUAUGCUAUGGCCUUGUGUUAGAGUUGGGUUGGAAAACAUGUAAAAUCCUUAGUUCUAGGAUUCAGGGGCAGGCUGGUGGCUCCUGCCUCACCCAGGCAGGAUGGGUCAUUCUGGGCAGUGGGGCGGGUUUCUCAGUGGAAAGGGUAGUGGGAGAGGGGUCGGAGGGGUCUUGGGAAGACCCAGCUGAGCCAGCUGGGUUCUCUCUGCCAUCACCCCUCCCUAUCAGCUUGGUCUCUCAGAACCAGUCCUCUUCCCACGCACCCAGUGUGUAAUUGCCUGAUCUGGCCUAGUGCACAGGGGAGAGGUGGGCAGGCAUUUAUUUUUCAUUAGAAGGUUGGACUAAAAUUGUGGGAGGUGGUGCUCAGCAUGGGGAGCUGCCUCAGAAAAUGUGCUGACGGAUGGGCCCAAACUUAUCAGCUGGAAACACCUGCUUCUGGUACCUUCUGCUACCUAUCCAAGCCUCGCUUUUCUUCAUCUGAAAUUACUAAUAUUGUCAACCUUACCAUGGCUCUUGAGAUGAUGACAUAAGAUAAUGCAGGGAUGGGAGUGAGGGGAAGCAAGAGGUCCGGAUUUAAAUUCUAUUUCUGUCACUUAACAGGGUGCAUUUUCAGCAAGUUUCUUACACCUCCCUAGGCCUCAAUUUCCUGAUCUGAAAACUAGGAUAGCUUACCUAUCCUGUAAGGGUUGUCACAAGAAGCCAACUUCAUGCUAGAUAUUAAAAUACCCAGCAGAAGCCUGGUACACAACAAGUGCUCGGUAAACAUCAAGAUGUGUGUAAACCAUGAAAUAUUGUUCGAGAACUUUGCCCUUCUUCCAAUCCCAGGUUGAAACAAUAUACAUUCCUUAGGAGAUGCUUCUUGGCUGUUGAGUGGAGUAAUUAUUUCCAAGGAGGGUUCUGGUGCAUCUCCCCAGAGUGAUACCACCACAUAAUGUAAAGGGUUGUAAACCUCUACUAUGUCUACAAGCCUGCAGAAAAUGUGACUGAAAUGCAGUCACAUUGUCUCUUUUUUUUUGAUCACGUGGUGACAACCAGCUU